AUCACUUUCUGAUGAACUUGCAAAAGACUACGCUUCUUUGGCAAAGAAGCCCUGUUAUGAGUGUCCUCGUAGACUCAUAGUCCUUUGGCAGGAGAACAAACAACGAAGGCACAACCAAAAAAAAAAAAAAAAAAGGAAAAGAUAGCAACGAAGGAGAGAUACAGAAACGCUGCAGAAAUUGUGGGGCACAAAGAGAGAACAAACGGGAAGAGGAACAAAAGAAUACAGAGGAGGGGUGGACGACAAAAAGGAAAGGCAACGACUCAAAAGAAGAAGAAGCACUUGGCUUCUUCAUCCUCUCCCAUUCCACGAAGCAAAAAUGGAGGUGGAACUCCAGAGAUACAAAGCCCAAACCCUUUCCCAAAUUUCUCAACCUCUUCCGGAGAUCACAAAACACACUAAGGCAAAACUCCCAGAGGAAGAAAGGAACUGAGCAACGCCGGUCUACUAUGCCUAGCAAUGAUGUCCAAACUCGACAACGACGUAAGAGAUGAGUUCGAACAAGGUAGCAGCAGCCGCCGACUUCCUUAAGGUCCAGACAGCCGCAACUUUUCCUCUCUACCCUGCGAGAACCCAACCAAAGAUCUCUGCCCAACGGGAGCGCCAUCCGUGAGUCUAGUGACCGCAGCCUCCUCAUUCGUCUCAGCCAACGGCAGUAGAAGGCAGUCCCAGGUAUCCAAGAUACGGCGAAGCGACACGGAGCAGCAAGCAAAUCACGAGGGACAAAGACGCAGCCAUGGCGUAGAACGAAAAAAAUGUUGGAUAUAUGAUAUAAUCAUACAUGCUAAUAAAUAAUAAAUGUAAAUAUAAAAAUUAACAGCGCAUGAACAAAAUAAAAAUGUAAAACAGGCAAUUUGAAAGU